GACGAACGCUGGCGGCGUGCUUAACACAUGCAAGUCGAACGGAAAGGCCCUGCUUUUGUGGGGUGCUCGAGUGGCGCACGGGUGAGUAACACGUGAGUAACCUGCCCUUGACUUUGGGAUAACUUCAGGAAACUGGGGCUAAUACCGGAUAGGAGCUCCUGCUGCAUGGUGGGGGUUGGAAAGUUUCGGCGGUUGGGGAUGGACUCGCGGCUUAUCAGCUUGUUGGUGGGGUAGUGGCUUACCAAGGCUUUGACGGGUAGCCGGCCUGAGAGGGUGACCGGCCACAUUGGGACUGAGAUACGGCCCAGACUCCAACGGUGGGCAGCAGUGGGGAAUAUUGCACAAUGGGCGGAAGCCUGAUGAAGCAACGCCGCGUGCGUGAAGACGGCCUUCGGGGUGUAAACCGCUUUCGGCUGUGACGAAGCGGGAGUGACGGUAAUGGGUAAAGAAGCACCGGCUAACUACGUG
rnacentral:rRNA from 1 species